AGUGGGGAAUUUUGCGCAAUGGGGGAAACCCUGACGCAGCACCGCCGCGUGGAGGAUGAAAUAUCUUGGUAUGUAAACUCCUUUCGAUGGGGAAGAUUAUGACGGUACCCAUAGAAGAAGCCCCGGCUAACUUCGUGCCAGCAGCCGCGGUAAUACGAGGGGGGCAAGCGUUGUUCGGAAUUAUUGGGCGUAAAGGGUGCGUAGGCGGUCUGACAAGUCUGAUGUGAAAUCUAUGGGCUCAACCCAUAGUCUGCAUCGGAAACUGUCGGGCUUGAGUAUGGGAGAGGUGAGUGGAAUUUCCGGU
rnacentral:rRNA from 1 species